GGGUACGACCAUACUUGGCCGAGUGCACCACAUCCCGUCCGAUUUGUGAAGUUAAGCGGCCACAGGCCUCGUUAGUACGGCGAUCA
rfam:Trypanosoma cruzi strain CL Brener tcruzi_1047053474681, whole genome shotgun sequence.